rnacentral:rRNA from 1 species
AGUAACGGCGAGUGAAGCGGCAACAGCUCAAAUUUGAAAUCUGGCUCCUUCAGGGUCCGAGUUGUAAUUUGUAGAAGAUGCUUCGGGUGUAGCACCGGUCUAAGUUCCUUGGAACAGGACGUCAUAGAGGGUGAGAAUCCCGUAUGUGACUGGCUGCCUUCGCCUAUGUGAAGCUCUUUCGACGAGUCGAGUUGUUUGGGA